GACGAACGCUGGCGGCGCGCUUAACACAUGCAAGUCGAACGGAAAGGCCUGCUUUCCCUUGUGGAUUGCGGGUACUCGAGUGGCGAACGGGUGAGUAACACGUGAGUGAUCUGCCCCCAACUUGGGUAUAAGCCUGGGAAACUGGGUCUAAUUCCCGAUAGGACUGCAGGGUGGUGCCUGUGGUGGAAAACGAUUUUCUAGUGGUUGGGGAUGAGCUCGCGGCCUAUCAGCUUGUUGGUGGGGUAAUGGCCUACCAAGGCGGCGACGGGUAGCCGGCCUGGGAGGGUGGACGGCAACAUUGGGACUGAGAUACGGCCCAGACUCCUACGGGAGGCAGCAGUGGGGAAUAUUGCACAAUGGGCGGAAGCCUGAUGCAGCGACGCCGCGUGGGGGAUGACGGCCUUCGGGUUGUAAACUCCUUUCGACCGCGAGGAAGCCACCUGGUUGGAAGGGUGGUGACGGUAGUGGUAGAAGAAGCACCGGCUAACUACGUG
rnacentral:rRNA from 1 species